rnacentral:rRNA from 1 species
AACGAACGCUGGCGGCAUGCCUAACACAUGCAAGUCGAACGAAGGCGUCGGCCUUAGGGGCGCACGGGUGCGUAACGCGGGGGAAGCUGCCCGUGGCUUCCGAAUAACAGUUAGAAAUGACUGCUAAUACCGGAGGAUGUCGCAAGACCAAAGAUCUACCGGCAAAGGCUGAGCCCGCGUAGGAUUAGCCAGUUGGGGGGGUAUAGGCCUACCAAGGCGACGAUCCUUAGCUGGUCUGUGAGGAUGCUCAGCCACACUGGGACUGAGGCCCGGCCCAGACUCCUACGGGACGCAGCAGUGGAGAAUAUUAGGCGCUGAGCGCAAGCCUGAUCCAGCCGUGCCGCGUGAGUGAUGCAGGCCUUAGGGUUGUAAAUCUCUUUUACCCGGGAUGAUAAUGACGGUACCGGGAGAAUAAGCUCCGGCUAACUCCGUG